CAUAAAAUGCAAAAAUCACUUUCAUCAGGUGUUUGAACACAGUUGUGUGGCCGCAGUUUUGUGAAUACAACCAGCCUAUAAUUGUAA